AUUGAACGCUGGCGGCAGGCCUAACACAUGCAAGUCUAGCAGAGCGGCGGACGGGUGAGUAAUGCCUAGGAAUCUGCCUGGUAGUGGGGGAUCACGUCCGGAAACGGGCGCUACUACCUCCUCCUAUCCGCUGUGCCUAGGUGGGAUUAGCUAGGGUGUGGGGUAAAGGCCUACCCAGGCGACGAUCCGUAACUGGACUGAGAGGAUGAUCAGUCACACUGGAACUGAGCCACGGGCCAGACGCCUACGGGAGGCAGCAGUGGGGAAUAUUGGAAAAUGGGCGAAAGCCUGAUCCAGCCAUGCCGCGUGUGUGAAGAAGGUCUUCGGAUUGUAAAGCACUUUAAGUUGGGAGGCGGUACCCGCAGAAGAAGCACCGGCUAACUCCGUGCCAGCAGCCGCGGUAAUUC
rnacentral:rRNA from 1 species